AAUGAACGCUGGCGGCGCGCCUAAUACAUGCAAGUCGAGCGAGAAGACGUAGCAAUACGUUUGUAAAGCGGCGAACGGGUGAGGAAUACAUGGGUAACCUACCCUUGAGUGGGGAAUAACUAGCCGAAAGGUUAGCUAAUACCGCGUACGCUUCUUGGACUUCGGUUCAGGGAGGAAAGCGAUGCCGAGGGUAUCGCGCUCUUGGAUGGGCUCAUGUCCUAUCAGCUUGNGGUGAGGUAACGGCUCACCAAGGCUUCGACGGGUAGCUGGUCUGAGAGGACGAUCAGCCACACUGGCACUGCGACACGGGCCAGACUCCUACGGGAGGCAGCAGUAAGGAAUAUUGCGCAAU
rnacentral:rRNA from 1 species